AUGGGUAGAGGGGAAAGCUUCAACAUGCGGGAGGAUGAGUUGUUGUGCAUUGCAUGGUUGGCUACUAGCCUCGAACCGAUCCAUGGCACGGAGCAAAAAGGGCAUAACUUUUUGGGCCAACAUUCACACAUGGUUCCAUGA
rnacentral:rRNA from 1 species